CAAGUCGAACGGUAGCAGCAGAAGCUUGCUUCUGGCUGACGAGUGGCGGACGGGUGAGUAACGCGUGGGAAUCUACCCUUUAGCGGGGGACGACUCGAGGAAACUCGAGCUAAUACCGCAUAAUCCCUUCGGGGCAAAGGCUUCGGCCACUACUGGAUGAGCCCGCGUCCGAUUAGCUUGUUGGUAGGGUAAUGGCCUACCAAGGCGACGAUCGGUAGCUGGUCUGAGAGGACGAUCAGCCACACUGGGACUGAGACACGGCCCAGACUCC
rnacentral:rRNA from 1 species